rnacentral:rRNA from 1 species
AGAGCGAACGCUGGCGGCAGGCCUAAUACAUGCAAGUCGAACGGAUCCUUCGGGAUUAGUGGCGGACGGGUGAGUAACGCGUGGGAACGUACCUUUUGGCUCGGAACAACACAGGGAAACUUGUGCUAAUACCGGAUAAGCCCUUACGGGGAAAGAUUUAUCGCCAAAAGAUCGGCCCGCGUCUGAUUAGCUAGUUGGUGAGGUAACGGCUCACCAAGGCGACGAUCAGUAGCUGGUCUGAGAGGAUGAUCAGCCACAUUGGGACUGAGACACGGCCCAAACUCCUACGGGAGGCAGCAGUGGGGAAUAUUGGACAAUGGGCGCAAGCCUGAUCCAGCCAUGCCGCGUGAGUGAUGAAGGCCCUAGGGUUGUAAAGCUCUUUGUGCGGGAAGAUAAUGACGGUACCGCAAGAAUAAGCCCCGGCUAACUUCGUGCCAGCAGCCGC